UGGGGAAUAUUGCACAAUGGGCGCAAGCCUGAUGCAGCAACGCCGCGUGAGGGACGACGGCCUUCGGGUUGUAAACCUCUUUUAGUAGGGAAGAAGCGAAAGUAACGGUACCUGCAGAAAAAGCACCGGCUAACUACGUGCCAGCAGCCGCGGUAAUACGUAGGGUGCAAGCGUUAUCCGGAAUUAUUGGGCGUAAAGAGCUCGUAGGCGGUUUGUCGCGUCUGCUGUGAAAACUGGGGGCUCAACCCCCAGCCUGCAGUGGGUACGGGCAGACUAGAGUGCGGUAGGGGAGAUUGGAAUUCCUGGUGUAGCGGUGGAAUGCGCAGAUAUCAGGAGGAACACCAAUGGCGAAGGCAGAUCUCUGGGCCGUAACUGACGCUGAGGAGCGAAAGCAUGGGGAGCGAACA
rnacentral:rRNA from 1 species